CACGUAGGAGGCGAGCGUUAUCCGGAUUUACUGGGCGUAAAGCGUGUGCAGGCGGUCUGGCAAGUUGGAUGUGAAAGCUCCUGGCUCAACUGGGAGAGGUCGUUCAAUACUGCCGGACUUGAGGAUGGUAGAGGGAGGUGGAAUUCCGAGUGUAGUGGUGAAAUGCGUAGAUAUUCGGAGGAACACCAGUGGCGAAAGCGGCCUCCUGGACCAUUUCUGACGCUCAUACACGAAAGCUAGGGGAGCAAACGGG
rnacentral:rRNA from 1 species